UACGUAGGGAGCGAGCGUUGUCCGGAAUCAUUGGGCGUAAAGAGCAUGUAGGUGGAUCAAUUAGUCUGCUGUGAAAGUCAAAGGCUCAACCUUUGAAAGCCGGUGGAUACUGUUGGUCUAGAGUACGGAAGAGGCGAGUGGAAUUCCUGGUGUAGCGGUGGAAUGCGCAGAUAUCAGGAGGAACACCAAUAGCGAAGGCAGCUCGCUGGGACGUUACUGACACUGAGAUGCGAAAGCGUGGGGAACAAACAGG
rnacentral:rRNA from 1 species